GACGUAGGGUGCAAGCGUUGUCCGGAUUUACUGGGCGUAAAGAGCGCGUAGGCGGCUCGUUAAGUGAGAAGUGAAAGCUGUGGGCUCAACCCACAAACCGCUUUUCAUACUGGCGAGCUGGAGUGAUGCAGAGGUGGAUAGAAUUCCUGGUGUAGCGGUGAAAUGCGCAGAUAUCAGGAAGAACACCCGUGGCGAAGGCGGCUCUCUGGGACGGUACUGACGCUGAGACGCGAAAGCGUGGGGAUCAAACAGG
rnacentral:rRNA from 1 species